rnacentral:rRNA from 1 species
AUGUAUCUUUUCAUGUCCCUGCAAAAGAGCUUAUCACUAUGUGUGUUCUGGUUAUAUAUCAACAAGAAUAGCAGAGGAACCGAUGGCAAAAAUAAGGAACAAUAUUUUUCUUAUUUUCAAGAAAGGCAUUUAGUUGAUUCAUGUCAGUUCUUGGAACUAAAGCAUCAUACAAUGAUAAGUAAUAGUAAGAUACUUGACACAUCUGAAGCUGAAAGUGUUCUCUUAUAUUUCUUAAACUUUUUCAUUGUAUUAUAUUCUAUAAGAGCGUCAAAGUUGUGUUCUGUUUUUUUGAUACAACAAUGA